GCACUAAUGGUGUAAUGGUAACAUCUAAGCUUCCCAUGCUUAGGCCCCUGGUUCGAUUCCUGGUUAGUGCA